rnacentral:lncRNA from 1 species
CAGAGGGGCUCCUCACUUCCCAGUAGGGGCGGCCGGGCAGAAGCGCCCCUCACCUCCCGGAUGGGGCGGCUGGCCAGGCGGGGGGCUGACCCCCCCACCACCCUCCCGGACGGGGCGGCUGGCCAGGCAGAGGGGCUCCUCACUUCCCAGUAGGGGCGGCCGGGCAGAGGCGCCCCUCACCUCCUGGAUAGGGCGGCUGGCCAGGCAGAGGGGCUCCUCACUUCCCAGUAGGGGCGGCCGGGCAGAGGCGCCCCUCACCUCCCGGAUGGGGCGGCCGGCCGGGCGG